rnacentral:lncRNA from 1 species
UGCUAAGAAGUUUGAUCACAUUGAAUGGGCAAAGAGUAGGUUCGGGUAGGCAAAAGUAGGGCUUAUGAUUUUGAAUGAUAAAAAAUGUUUGUUGAGUGGUUUUGAAUUUAUGAAUUCAAUUCAAGUGUAUUUAGCCGGAGAAUGCCCCGAAGAUUGAUGUAUUUAUUCACCGGGAAAUGCCUCGACGUAUAUGUACUCGGAGGAUGUCUGUGACGAAGGUCCGAGGCAUCGAGUAAAGCAUUGGAGGGUAGUG